rnacentral:lncRNA from 14 species
GUCCCCUGUGCUGUGCCCCACAUCCACUGUGCCCCCCGGGCCACGUCCCGUGGGUCCCCUGGGGUCCGUCCCUUGUGCCACAUCCCGUGUCCCUGCCCCGGUGUCCCCACAUCCCGUGUCCCCCAUGGCCUCAGAGCCACAUCUUCACACCCCACACCCCCUGCGCACAUCUCUCAUGCCCAAGUCCCCCCAUGUCCCUCAUUGUGUCCCCCCCAUGCCCAUGGGCACCCGGGCACACAGAACCGGGUCCCAUCCAGGCUCGGGGCUCCCACUGGGAUCAGCCUGGAACCCCUGGAGCCCCUCCAUGGGCAGCCCCAUGGCUCCUGCGGGAUCCGGCUGUGAAACCCCUCGGGAAGCCCCAAAUCCACCCGGUUUGGGGCAGCUCCCAGCACAUCCCAGUGGGGCAGCACCCGCAGAGCCCAGCACAGGGGACCCCACAGCACACUUAUGUGUCCCCAUCGCACACAACCCCUGUGCUCCCAGCCCCAUGGGGGCCGCAGCGCCCACAAGAAGCACCCAUGGCCGGGUCUAGGUCCAGGACUCGUGUUCUGGUGUUUGGCACCCGGCGCCGACGCAGCUUCACCCAAACCAGAGCCCAAGGCCCCGGUGCGAGGCCCCUGUCUGCAUCCAGGGCAAUGCCGCAUGGUGUGUCCUCAACCAUGGUGUGUCCCAAGCCGGUGCCCUCAGGGACACCGCGGGUGCCCCAUGUACCAGUCCCAGGUCCAUACCUGGUCUCAAGGAGGCUGCGGCGCAGGGAGUGCAGCUCCCACCUGUGCCACAUCCCAUGGGUCCAUCACUGCAGGGUCAGUGCCAGGGCCAGGUCAGUACCCGGUGAGCAGCAGCUCCGGCCCCAGCUCCAGCUCCAGCUCCAUGCCCAGGCUGGGGCCUGGCGUCAACGUACAAAAGUGGGAGCCAGAAAAGGGCCCCUGGGUUCGGCUCCACCGGGACCCACACCAGGGACCUCCCGCAUGCCCCAGCUCCUCCGCAGCCCCACGGCCCCAUAUCCCUGUCCUGGCCGCUGUGGGGCUGUUUCUGGGCAGGGCCGAGCGCAGCUCCCACGGCUGCAAUAGAAACCUUGGAAUGGUCGGGAAAAGGAUCCUUUAAAAGCGAUGGGUCUGAGGUGCGGGCGCUGGUGUGAGGCUCGGGCUCCGGUGUGAGGCUCGGGUACCGGUCCAAGGCUCGGGCUCCGGUGUGAGGCUCGGGCACCAGUGUGAGGCUCGG